UGGGCAGCCUGGUGUGUGAGAAAGCUGGGUCAGGGGUAGAUGCUUGGGGAUUUCCAAAGAUAAUCCUGUGGAGGGAAGAGCAGAGCAAAUGGAAAAGUCUGUGCCCUUUUAAGCUUCUCCUGGGCGCAAAGUCUUUGAUCCUGUGAUGUGUCUGACGCCUUGCAGGUGUGUGGUGUGUAUGUGUAGGAGAAGCCAGUAAUUACCCCUUGCUGAUGGAGCUGACCAAACACAGUCUUUCCCAUGGCAACUGAAAACAUAAAAAAAUAAAAUUUAAAAAAUUGGAGGUUACGUAAUUGCCGUCCCUGGAGGAGGAGGAAUGUGGAGAUCAUGGAGUUUCUUGUGGCUUUUGGUUGAAGGUGUUGGUGAAGAUACAGAGGUCCUGCUGAGUAGCUGAACAGGAUGCUGUUGCUUGCUUUGAAGUGUCUGGAAAAUUCCUGAGUUCCAGUGAAAAGCUUCUUAAGAAGAAGAAGGAAAGGUGGCUAGAAAAUGGGAAGGCAGUUCUAGGACCAGUGGGAAAAAAUUGGGGUGAGGACAUCGAAGAUUUGUUCAGGACGAGGUAGCUGAUGAGAGAGAGAGAAGAAAGAGCCCACUGUCAGCCCAGGUCCUCCUCCUCCUUGCUCAGGAGCCACCACACAUGCAACUCUAUGGGAUCUCUAUUUCUCUCCAGAACUCUCUACUCGCUUUGCAGAUUAUUUGUUAAGACCUCUUACACAAUUUUCUUUUUAAUUUAAGGCCAUGUUGCCACGAAGCUUUGUCGUGAUGUAUUUAAAUAAAAUAAUCUUUUGUUACCUAGCAUGCCACUGAUU